rnacentral:rRNA from 1 species
UCCGUAGGGCGCAAGCGUUGUCCGGAAUUAUUGGGCGUAAAGAGCUCGUAGGCGGUUUGUCGCGUCUGCUGUGAAAACCUAAGGCUCAACCUUGGGCUUGCAGUGGGUACGGGCAGACUAGAGUGCGGUAGGGGUGACUGGAAUUCCUGGUGUAGCGGUGGAAUGCGCAGAUAUCAGGAGGAACACCGAUGGCGAAGGCAGGUCACUGGGCCGCAACUGACGCUGAGGAGCGAAAGCAUGGGGAGCGAACAGG